rnacentral:rRNA from 1 species
CGGGGGGGGCAAGCGUUGUUCGGAAUUACUGGGCGUAAAGGGCUCGUAGGCGGCCAACUAAGUCGGACGUGAAAUCCCCAGGCUCAACCUGGGAACUGCGUCCGAUACUGGAUGGCUUGAAUCCGGGAGAGGGAUGCAGAAUUCCAGGUGUAGCGGUGAAAUGCGUAGAUAUCUGGAGGAAUACCGGUGGCGAAGGCGGCAUCCUGGACCGGCAUUGACGCUGAGGAGCGAAAGCCAGGGGAGCAAACGGGAUUAGAUACCCCGGUAGUCCUGGCCCUAAACGAUGAAUGCUUGGUGUAACGGGUAUCGAUCCCUGUUGUGCCGAAGCUAACGCAUUGAGCAUUCCGCCUGGGGAGUACGGUCGCAGGGCUG